rnacentral:rRNA from 1 species
CAGUCGCCACGGUAAUACGUAGGGUGCGAGCGCUAAUCGGAAUUACUGGGCGUAAAGCGAGCGCAGACGGUUACUUAAGCAGGAUGUGAAAUCCCCGGGCUCAACCUGGGAACUGCGUUCUGAACUGGGUGGCUAGAGUGUGUCAGAGGGAGGUAGAAUUCCACGUGUAGCAGUGAAAUGCGUAGAGAUGUGGAGGAAUACCGAUGGCGAAGGCAGCCUCCUGGGAUAACACUGACGUUCAUGCUCGAAAGCGUGGGUAGCAAACAGGAUUAGAUACCCCGGUAGUCCCUGUCUCUUAUAC